GAGAUCCCCGGCCACCUCUUGGAGGAGAUAUUCCUCCUGCUGCCCUCCGCAGAAGACCUCGCCCGCACCUCCGCCGUCUGCGUCACGUUCCGCUGGCUCGUCACCGACAGCUCAUUCCUCCGCCGCUUCCACCGCCUCCACGCACCGCCACUCCUCGGCUUCCUUGACAUCGACGGGUUCCAUCCGGCUCUGCCGCCUCACCCCUCCGCGCCCGCCGCCCAUGCGCUCGCCCUCGCCGCCGACUUCACCUUCUCCUUCCUCCCCUCCCACUGCCAAUGGACCGUCCAGGACAUCCGCGACGGCCGCGUCCUUUUUGAGCGUAAGCAUGGAAAGGACGAGGAGGAUCUCCCGAUCUUCCCGGAGCUUGUGGUGUGCGACCCCUUGCACCGGCGGUACAUCCUGCUCCCCUCAGUGCCCGACGACCUAGCGGCAUCGGUUGAGAAGCAAGGCCGGUUUUUUGGGAGCUUCUGCGAGCCCAGCCUCAUUCCACCCAACGAGGGGGAGACUGAAGAGACUGCCUUCAGAGUGAACUGGUUGGCACGCUGCGGCAUUAACCUGGCCGCCUUCGUAUUCUCUUCGAGCACUGGGCUAUGGCAAGCCACCGCAUCGCAGCCGUGGACGAAUUUGUUCAUUGGCGAUCUGCCUUUAUAUUUUCUCAAGCGUCAUUUCGCUUGUGGUUGCAUCUAUUGGGCCUCGCCGAUGAACAAGAAAGAGCUGCUUGUGCUUGACAUCAGGACUAUGGAGUUCUCCAUUGCUGACUUCCCACCUGAUGCAUGGCUCCAGCUACAGGUAGCUAUUGUGGAUGCAGGGGAAGGCAGGCUUGGCAUGUUUAGCACCCAUGAUGGAAAUGCAUUCUAUGAAUCUAUUCUCUGUUAUAUGGUUAGGCAAAACAAAGGUGAGAGUUCCGGCCAGUGGGUUAUGAAGACAAUCUCUUAG
rnacentral:rRNA from 1 species